CCGUGUGUAGCUCAGUUUGGUAGAGCACUCGGUUUGGAACUGAGGGGUCGCUGGUUCAAGUCCAGCCACACUGACCA
rnacentral:tRNA from 1 species